UACGUAGGGGGCAAGCGUUGUCCGGAUUUAUUGGGCGUAAAGCGCUCGCAGGCGGCCUGAUGCGUCGUGCGUGAAAUCCCUCGGCUCAACUGGGGGUGGUCGUGCGAUACGGUCAGGCUUGAGGCCAGUGGGGGGACGCGGAAUUCCGGGUGUAGUGGUGGAAUGCGUAGAGAUCCGGAGGAACACCAGCGGCGAAGGCGGCGUCCUGGACUGGUACUGACGCUCAGGAGCGAAAGCGUGGGGAGCGAUCCGG
rnacentral:rRNA from 1 species